rnacentral:rRNA from 1 species
UACGUAGGGACCAAGCGUUGUCCGGAAUCAUUGGGCGUAAAGCGCGCGUAGGUGGCCAUUUAAGUCCGCUGUGAAAGUCAGAGGCUCAACCUUUGAAAGCCGGUGGAUACUGGAUGGCUAGAGUACGGAAGAGGCGAGUGGAAUUCCUGGUGUAGCGGUGAAAUGCGCAGAUAUCAGGAGGAACACCGGUGGCGAAGGCGGGUCUCUGGGCCGAUACUGACGCUGAGGAGCGAAAGCGUGGGGAGCGAACAGG